ensembl:processed_transcript Hoxaas2 Hoxa cluster antisense RNA 2
CUCUUAAUGUCCAGCCCGGGACCUGCGCCCCUGGCCCAUUGUUAGCCGGCUUUUCCACGGCAGCUUUGCAUCUGACUCCUGCGGGCAGCGGAAAACGAGAGGCGGCUCUCGAAGCCUGCUGAUCUUCCUUCGCCAUCAACUUCUCAGGAGUGGCUGGAGAAAGAUAGAUGCAUGUGCCAAGAGAGACAGCAGCCCCAGGUCCUUGUGUCCAAAUCCCCGUAGCCUGGGCGGCGGCCAGCCAAAACAAUGCCGUCCCGAGCAGGCUCGUGCGGCUCCUGGCACUCUGGGUUUCAUACCCGUAGGGCUCGGGUGCGGCCAAAAGAGAGCACGGAUCAAGAGCAGGACGAAUCAAGAGCAGGAGGGUAGACGACGACGUGGGGAAAGCUCCUUUGGCGUGAGACUCCCAGCGUUCUGCGGCAGCCUGCUUUUGUAUCCUCAAGAUUUUCCUAAACCGUGAAAAGGGCUCCUAAACGCUGCUCUCUGGGACUCAGCAGAGAGGAAAUAAAUCCACAGAAUGGCAGAUGCUGAAUUCCGGGAGGAAUUUGAUGCUGAGAUUCAUGGAAGGGAUUCCUUCCAAUACAAGGAAGACCUGGAGGACUAUGAAGCUCAGUCCUUUUUCUGGAGACCUAAGGGAGAGUAGGUCCCUUUUGAGGUGAAUUUAGAAGAGUCCCGUCCCCCCCAUCUUCUUUAGGCGUGAUAAUGAACCGCGAAGCAUCCUCAGUGGAGACCUGGAAUUCGAUAGCUUGUGGGAAGAGCUUAAGACCUUGUGCGGUUCCAAGGUUGAGGCCUUGGCCGAUGGGCUUUCGGUGCGGGGGAAUGGAGAGGAGCCCCGGGUUCUUGGUGUCGGCGUCCCGCACCUGUGCGCCCCCCGCUGAGCCCGAGGCCGGCCGCCUUUGUUUCUGCCAGGCCGCUCUGCACUUAGCAGCCUGGCGCCCUGCUUGGGCGGCAGCUGGGAACCAGGCAGCUCAGCGGGCCGGGAGCCUGGCAUUUCCCGAGCUGCGGCAGCCACUUGAAACCGCGGCCUCUAUCCCCAGAACUCGCCGAGCUUCCAAGGCAGACGCUGGACCAGGCCUCACGCCAGAGUCGCGGUGCUGCCGCAGCCGCUGACAGUUCGCUUCUGCCAGAACUCCACGCAGAGACCCGUGUCCAGCCAAAGAACCCCCUUUGACACGGAUCGUAAUCAGAAUAAAAACUUUAUUUUUUUUGUUUUGUUUCUCAGAAUGUGAGCAGCAAGGAAUGUAAAACUCUCAAAACAAAUCUAGCAUUUUUAGCGUUCAGUUUGGCCAGAUGUUACAAACCUAAACCACUAUUUUCAAACUCUGGGUCCUCUCUGUUCUUAUUGCAUUGCUACGGUUUUUAAUAAAGGAAUUUUAUUUCCCUUUCAAAUAAAUUUUAUAUGUAUGCCAAUACACCAUUGAACAAAAGGCUCAAGAAACCUUCUGAACAAUCAGGGUACAGAAUUUCUUUAAUAUAAAUACGAACGGAUGGGGAUAAAUAAUAUUUAAAACUUAGACUAUUCAAUGCUUGCAAAAAAUAUAAAUAAAUCUGACUGUUCACAAGCACACAC